AGGAGAGCAGGUGACAGCGGCGGAGUGAAAAUGAUGAGCGACCGCUACAGUGCCACGGCCUCCAUUCCAACUUUGACAGACACAGUGGGCCGGGGAGAAGGAUGAUCCAAGGACAGGGUUAAAAAAAAACAGAAGGCCCGGAUCUCUUUGUCUCCCAGUAAUAUUGCCGAGUGGAUUCAAACAGCCCCGUGAAGCUGAGCCGAGCCGGGCCCCGAGCUGUGAUCGCGCCGUGAUAACUACCAGAUGGAUCAAUACAAGUGUUGUAAAGGUAAGGUUGAGGCCGAGGCCCCGCGGCGAUCCCAAGAGGAGGGUCAAGUGUUGAAGAAUUGCCGCACUCAGCCAGUAAACCGCCGUCCUCGUCACGGUGGUUUUCUCUUAGUGGCAGCUUAAGGGUGCAAAUACAACUUGAACCGCAUCAUAAUCAAAACAAGCAUGUUAUACAUCUAUUGGGCUUUUGGGGCUUGUUUAGUCCAUGUGAGUGAAUCGUAAACUAUAGAUAUAUGUACACAGUAGGAACAAUAGUCCAUUAAAAGCUUUGGUAUUCCACAAGUGGCCUUUUAG
ensembl:lncRNA